AAACGGCCGCGUUAGCGUGAGCGUGCUAAGGUAGCGUAAUAAAUAGCCUCUUAAUUGGAGGCCAGUGAAUGGCAAGACUAGGGACGUCUGUACCCUGUAUAGAAAAACAACUUUUCAUUUGGGUGAACAGACCCGACUAGUAAUGGGAGACGAAAAGACCCCGCGGAAGUUUACCUUUUCCAGUCUCCACAUGCUCAGAAACACAAAAACAAAAGGUUUGAUUGGGGCAAUCUCGGAACCACCCAAACUUCCGACUUACCGACAUAAAAGUAUAUAAAACUCAAUAAGGACUAAAAAGAAGUUACCCCGGGGAUAACAGCGUAAUCCAACUUGAGAGUACACAUCGAAAGUUGGGUUUGCGACCUCGAUGUUGGCUUAAGG
rnacentral:rRNA from 1 species